rnacentral:rRNA from 1 species
CCUACGGGAGGCAGCAGUGAGGAAUAUUGGUCAAUGGGAGCGAUCCUGAACCAGCCAAGCCGCGUGAGGGAAGACGGCCCUAUGGGUUGUAAACCUCUUUUGUCGGAGAACAAAACCCGGGACGUGUCCCGGACUGCGUGUAUCCGAAGAAAAAGCAACGGCUAACUCCGUGCCAGCAGCCGCGGUAAUACGGGGGAUGCGAGCGUUAUCCGGAUUUAUUGGGUUUAAAGGGUGCGUAGGCGGUCCGUUAAGUCAGCGGGAAAAUUGCGGGGCUCAACCCCGUCGAGCCGUUGAAACUGGCAGACUUGAGUGGGCGAGAAGUACGCGGAAUGCGCGGUGUAGCGGUGAAAUGCAUAGAUAUCGCGCAGAACUCCGAUUGCGAAGGCAGCGUACCGGCGCCAGACUGACGCUGAGGCACGAAAGCGUGGGGAUCGAACAGGAUUAGAUACCCCAGUAGUC